rnacentral:rRNA from 1 species
GACGAACGCUGGCGGCGUGCUUAACACAUGCAAGUCGAACGGAAAGGCCCUGCUUUUGUGGGGUGCUCGAGUGGCGAACGGGUGAGUAACACGUGAGUAACCUGCCCUUGACUUUGGGAUAACUUCAGGAAACUGGGGCUAAUACCGGAUAGGAGCUCCUGCUGCAUGGUGGGGGUUGGAACGUUUCGGCGGUUGGGGAUGGACUCGCGGCUUAUCAGCUUGUUGGUGGGGUAGUGGCUUACCAAGGCUUUGACGGGUAGCCGGCCUGAGAGGGUGACCGGCCACAUUGGGACUGAGAUACGGCCCAGACUCCUACGGGAGGCAGAAGUGGGGAAUAUGGCACAAUGGGCGGAAGCCUGAUGCAGCAACGCCGCGUGCGGGAUGACGGCCUUCGGGUUGUAAACCGCUUUCGCCUGUGACGAAGCGUGAGUGACGGUAAUGGGUAAAGAAGCACCGGCUAACUACGUG